UGAAAGUAUGGCGCCCGCGGGCCCGCGGCUGGUGCUGUGUGAGGAGAAGAUCCGGGAGAAGAGCGGCCUGGCGCCUCACCACGACCUGGCGGAGCUCCAGUCAUUGUCUAUUCCCGGAACUUACCAAGAGAAGAUUACUCACCUGGGAACGUCUCUGGUGAACCUAACGGGUCUGAAGUCCCUAGACCUCUCACGCAACUCCUUGGUGAGUCUAGAGGGUGUCCAGUACCUGACCGCGCUGGAGAGCCUCAACCUCUACUACAACAGCAUCUCCUCGCUCGCCGAGGUGCUGCGGCUCCACUCCCUGCCGGAGCUCGCCGAUGUGGACUUCCGGCUGAACCCCGUGGUGAAAAACGAGGCCGACUACCGCCUCUUCGUCGUGCACAUGCUUCCGAAGCUCAGGCAGCUGGAUGACCGUCCUGUGAGAGAGAGCGAGCGGAAGGCAUCCCGGCUGCAUUUUGCGUCGGAGGAGUCACUCAGCUCGAAGCAGAGCUUCCCCGCUGGCUUCAGAGUCGGAGGACCGUGCCACUCUAGGGCCCUGUGUGCUGACCCCUCGGCCAAGAAGUGCUUGGUCAUGGACGCAGAUGACGAGGCAGUCCUGAACCUCAUUGCUGAAUGCGAGUGGGACUUGAGCAACCCUCCUGCGAGCACAAGUUCCAGCCAGAGGGAGCGAGAGGCCGACCUCCGUAGUUCGCAAGAAUCCAGACAUCUGUUGAGCCCUCGGUCCGCACAGCCUCAGUGUGGGGACUCCAUCAGGACGGGCCAUGAGAAGAGGAAGGGCAGCUCUCGAGGCUGUGGUCCAGAAAAGAGGCUUCAGGACCAGAGCUGGGGGGAGCCGCCCCUGCAGUGUGGACAGCCCGUGCACUUCACCCCACACCCGGACAUUGAGGCCUCGAGCCUUUCUCAGAAGUCAAGUUUGUCAGCACAAAAGGUGUUGAAUCCACGGCCCGCUCCUGAGAAGCACAGAAAGCGAAGAACGCCUGGCCGGAGAUCCCAGGCUCCCGCAGACCAGGAGGGUCUGAGACGCCUGGAGAGGCCGACCGUGUCGUCGAGCCCCGAGGAGACUCUGAGCAGGCAGAGUGGCUCGGAGGGCCGGAGCGAAAGGACCUUGUCUCGCUCAGAGGUGUCGGAGCCUGAGGACGAGGAGCCUUGCGGCAGGAGCGGCACCGGAGAGGUGGUCCCCAGACUGUACUCUGCUGUGCCGCCCGGGAAGAAGGCUGCGCUGGAGGUGGCACUUCUGGAGGCGCUCCUUGACCUGGUGGACAGGUACUGGAGCGGCUGCAAGUCCCUGCAUGACAAUGAGGUGUUCCAGGCUCAGGCAAGACAUAUUUUGUCCUCGGUGCAAGCAUUUGCAACAACUCAGGAUAGUUCAACAAGUGUGAGUGAAGAAAUGAGCUUCCUUAAGCUGGAGAAUAAGUCUCUGCAGAAGCGCCUUGCUGAGCAGCAGCGGUACCGCGCGAAGAUGGGCGAGCUGGUGUCGGACCUCAGCGAGGCGCGGAAGCAGAUGGACGACUUGAGACAGCGUUUAGACAGAUCUCUGGAGGAGAAUAGCAGCUUGAAGGCUCUUCUGUUCAGCCUGAAAAAAGAAGCAAAAAACACAGACGCCGCAACUACGUUAAACGUGCAGAUCACUGGACUCCAGACCAGCGUGAAGAGGCUGUCCGGCGAGAUCGUGGAGCUGAAGCAGCAUCUGGAGCACUACGACAAGGUCCAGGAGCUCACGCAGAUGCUGCAGGAGAGCCACAGGAAAAGCGAGUCCCCUUGUUGCCGCAGUAUCCUGGGAGGUGUGACCGUGAAGUGUGGCCAGGAGAGCUGAGGGGCACAGGAGGCUUGGGGAGAUCCCCGGAUGUCCAGGUCUGCCCAGAGUGGUUCCUGUCGGUCCCAGAACAUGGAGACUCCCUCUCCAGCCCCGGCUGUGUGCUGCAUGGGGAGAAGAAAGGGGCUGCUGGUGUGGGGGUGGUCAAGGCAGACCCCCCGCUUUUAUUCAGAGAGUCCUGGGCUGGGAAGCGGGUGGAGGUUGGCUCGGGGAGCAGGUGUGCCGCUGGGUGCGGUGCGGUGAGGACAGGCCGUCUGCACUCCGCGCAGGUGCGAGCCUGAGCCCGGCGCACCCCGGCUCUCCCUCCUCCGGCUGAGGCCACCACGCCUCCCCCAGGCUUGAGUGCAGGGUGGCCAUUGGUGGAGCCAGGCCGUGAGCUCUCAAGGAGUCAGCCCAGGUUACAGAGGGGAAGGGGCUUCCAAGAGUGGAGCCGCAGCAGAGAGAAGGGAAAUGUGGCCGUCACGGCUGCGGGGAGGGGGCAGUCGGGGCAGAAUCGCUCCUAGAACCGGACGGCCCCCAGCUGCGCUGUGCUGGGCUCCCCGUGGACGGAGCCGGCGGGCCAGGGACUGUUUCUUGGUGCCUCCACAGGACGUCUGUCCGUGGGGGUCAGCGUCUGUGGGAAGACGGCCCCUCGUCCCUGCUCACCGGGGCCGAGGGCAGUUUGCAGGUGGCCGAGGGGGUAUGUACAGUGCUGCUUCCUUCCCAAGGUGCUUGUCGCGGUAGAAGUGGCUGAAAGCACCACAAGCCCAAGACUGAGUCACACUGUGACACGCUGAAUGAGUAGCCCCUUUACACGGGGCAGGAGCUACACAUAUGCCAGACCAGGGUCUGUCUCUGGAGUUAGAACGUUGUUUGCUGACUUGACAGACUCGGGCAGUUUUCUCCCGGACAGGCGUGGCCGCAGUGGCGGGGCGGUCCCCCAUCGUGGGCUCUGUUCCUCCACGCGGCACGGGGGCCCUGGGGCAGGGGUGCGGGUCAGACCUGGCACCCCCCUCGCCGGAGGGCACGAGCCCAGAGGAGGAGGCAGGGGGGUGUCCACAGCGCGGACCGUGCCUGGCCAGCUCCCUGGUCAGCACCAAUGAGCACCUCCUGCAGGAGCUGAGCCGGGUGCGGGCGCAGCAUGAGG